UACGAAUAUAAAUAUCAAGAAAAACAUAAAAACACCUCAAAAAAUUCUCGAAUCGCACCAGUGACCUUAGAAUAUCGAUACAAAGAAAAUUUCAUAUUUUUUCGUGACUGUCCGAAAAAUAUCAAAACAUUUAAUUCGUAAACGUCUGAUAAAUAUAAAAAUCAAUAAAAAGACAUAAAAACAUCUCAAAAACUUCACGAAUCGCACCUGUCAGCUUAGAAUAUCGAUACAAAUAAAAUAUUAAAAUUUCACAGUUUUUCGUGACUGCUCGAAAAAUAUAAAAAAAAUUAAUUCGUAAGCAUCCGAAAAAUAUAAAAAUCAAGCAGAGGAC
rnacentral:lncRNA from 1 species